rnacentral:rRNA from 1 species
AUUGAACGCUGGCGGCAGGCCUAACACAUGCAAGUCGAACGGUAACAGAAAGCAGCUUGCUGCUUUGCUGACGAGUGGCGGACGGGUGAGUAAUGUCUGGGAAACUGCCUGAUGGAGGGGGAUAACUACUGGAAACGGUAGCUAAUACCGCAUAACGUCGCAAGACCAAAGAGGGGGACCUUCGGGCCUCUUGCCAUCGGAUGUGCCCAGAUGGGAUUAGCUAGUAGGUGGGGUAACGGCUCACCUAGGCGACGAUCCCUAGCUAGUCUGAGAGGAGGACCAGCCACACUGGAACUGAGACACGGUCCAGACUCCUACGGGAGGCAGCAGUGGGGAAUAUUGCACAAUGGGCGCAAGCCUGAUGCAGCCAUGCCGCGUGUAUGAAGAAGGCCCUCGGGUUGUAAAGUACUUUCAGCGAGGAGGAAGGUGUUGUGGUUAAUAACCACAGCAAUUGACGUUACUCGCAGAAGAAGCACCGGCUAACUCCGUGCCAGCCGCCGCCGUAA